rnacentral:rRNA from 1 species
AGAGUUUGAUCCUGGCUCAGGACGAACGCUGGCGGCGUGCCUAAUACAUGCAAGUAGAACGCUGAAGAGAGGAGCUUGCUCUUCUUGGAUGAGUUGCGAACGGGUGAGUAACGCGUAGGUAACCUGCCUUGUAGCGGGGGAUAACUAUUGGAAACGAUAGCUAAUACCGCAUAACAAUGGAUGACACAUGUCAUUUAUUUGAAAGGGGCAAUUGUUCCACUACAAGAUGGACCUGCGUUGUAUUAGCUAGUAGGUGAGGUAAUGGCUCACCUAGGCGACGAUACAUAGCCGACCUGAGAGGGUGAUCGGCCACACUGGGACUGAGACACGGCCCAGACUCCUACGGGAGGCAGCAGUAGGGAAUCUUCGGCAAUGGGGGCAACCCUGACCGAGCAACGCCGCGUGAGUGAAGAAGGUUUUCGGAUCGUAAAGCUCUGUUGUAAGUCAAGAACGGGUGUGAGAGUGGAAAGUUCACACUGUGACGGUAGCUUACCAGAAAGGGACGGCUAACUACGUGCCAGCAGCCGCGGUAAUACGUAGGUCCCGAGCGUUGUCCGGAUUUAUUGGGCGUAAAGCGAGCGCAGGCGGUUUGAUAAGUCUGAAGUUAAAGGCUGUGGCUCAACCAUAGUUCGCUUUGGAAACUGUCAAACUUGAGUGCAGAAGGGGAGAGUGGAAUUCCAUGUGUAGCGGUGAAAUGCGUAGAUAUAUGGAGGAACACCGGUGGCGAAAGCGGCUCUCUGGUCUGUAACUGACGCUGAGGCUCGAAAGCGUGGGGAGCGAACAGGAUUAGAUACCCUGGUAGUCCACGCCGUAAACGAUGAGUGCUAGGUGUUGGAUCCUUUCCGGGAUUCAGUGCCGCAGCUAACGCAUUAAGCACUCCGCCUGGGGAGUACGACCGCAAGGUUGAAACUCAAAGGAAUUGACGGGGGCCCGCACAAGCGGUGGAGCAUGUGGUUUAAUUCGAAGCAACGCGAAGAACCUUACCAGGUCUUGACAUCCCGAUGCUAUUUCUAGAGAUAGAAAGUUACUUCGGUACAUCGGUGACAGGUGGUGCAUGGUUGUCGUCAGCUCGUGUCGUGAGAUGUUGGGUUAAGUCCCGCAACGAGCGCAACCCCUAUUGUUAGUUGCCAUCAUUCAGUUGGGCACUCUAGCGAGACUGCCGGUAAUAAACCGGAGGAAGGUGGGGAUGACGUCAAAUCAACAUGCCCCUUAUGACCUGGGCUACACACGUGCUACAAUGGUUGGUACAACGAGUUGCGAGUCGGUGACGGCGAGCUAAUCUCUUAAAGCCAAUCUCAGUUCGGAUUGUAGGCUGCAACUCGCCUACAUGAAGUCGGAAUCGCUAGUAAUCGCGGAUCAGCACGCCGCGGUGAAUACGUUCCCGGGCCUUGUACACACCGCCCGUCACACCACGAGAGUUUGUAACACCCGAAGUCGGUGAGGUAACCUUUUGGAGCCAGCCGCCUAAGGUGGGACAGAUGAUUGGGGUGAAGUCGUAACAAGGUA